rnacentral:lncRNA from 1 species
UGCUGUUUGUCUUUUUUUGACUUUGCUGUUGCUGUUACCUGCCAGCAAGUUUACCUCUCAUUCUAAACUCCCUCAUAAAAAGAAAGCAAGCUAGUUUUCACAGAAACGUAAAGACCAUUUUUCUUGGAAUCUAGACUCAUGGCCUGGGAGAGCAGUUGAGGAUGGUCUUACUUCUCCAUGUUCUGAAACCAGUUUAAACAAAAACAAAAACCAGACAACAACCUCGCAAGGAGCUCAGGGUAAACAAACAGCCUUUUUCUGGAAAGUAAAAUGUUUCCCCAAGAUGGGGAAAUUGAGAUGAGAGCUCGUCCAGAAGAAUACCCAUCAAUGUGCACUAAGUAGAAAAAUCAGCCAGAAGACUGGGAGCUUUUAAUAUCAGGAAACUUACACAAAUACCAUGAUUCCCAGAAGAGAUGUUUUGUAAAUAAGUCUGGGAUAAAAUGCAACAGAAUCGAGCCACGAUUGGAAGCGCUUACCGGAAUAAGAGAAGAACUUAGUCCCCAAAGCCCUCUCAAUGUUUGGAUUAAUUUCCUUUUUUCAGAAGGCCAAAAAGGACACCAAUUAAAGCCAGUUAUGGACUAUAUUCAGACUUUCCAUAUUUUCACCCCAUUCCAGUAAAAGUUCCCCUCCAAAGAAAUUUGGUCGAGAGAUGGAAUGAAAGAAUGAGAGACGUUUUAUUUUCUCUCCUAGAUGUUGGCAGGACUUCACUCCUACAUGUCUGAGGUUGUUUUCAUCUUGCAAAGUACUUUGAUAUUUGUGAAUGUGGCUACAUGGCUUAAAACAAGACCAGUGAUAACUCAUGCUAAUUAUUCAGCUUGUAUAUUAAUGCUUGACAAGAGAGAAAAGAACUUUUUCUUCCUUGAUGAUGGUUGUAAAAAUUAAGAAACGCGGGAGGAACGGAAAGAUCUGUGUUCUUCAGAGUGAUAAGCUUCCAUUUCACAGAGUUCUUGCAUCUAAAUCAUCGCAGGAACCCUCCAACGGAUGUAUUCACCCUUUCAGACUUCUGGUCCAUGCAAGCCAGGAAAGACUAGGCUCUGUAUACCCCGUUCCCCUACCAGGCCUGCGGGUCUCACCCUUUUUGGUGCUGGCUACCAGUCUGAAAUAGGAUGAGAACCAUCCCUUUCACUCUGCCUAUGAUCUUUAUUUCUAGUCAAUAUGAACGUCUACGUCAGACAUUCCUAUGAUAAUUCGACAGUCCCUUGCUAGAUCUUACAGAAGCUCCUAAUAGAAAUUGGGGUUGGGGGGCAUCCCAUUUAAUCUGUUUAAACUUCCGUUGGAUAUUUGCAAGUUCAAAUAGUUUAAAUGUGAUGUCCUGGAAUAUAAAC